AGUCCAAACCAUUUGAAUCCACCCAAACACAUGAGAAUAAAUAGCCCAAAAAUUAACAUCUCCGGUAGACUUUUUAAAGAAGUAAAGAGAGCACGUCUGCACGUGCAGAUGCAGCUGACUCUUCUCUCUCCAAAUUAUUACUGAAAAAACAUGGCUACACAACUUCUUGUGCUUAUAAAUAAAUAAAAAUUGUGUUUUAUCCUUUGUCUAUAAAAUAGAACCAGAAAGUUAGGAAAGCGCAGAGAUUCGUUUCUUGAGUUCUUGGUCGAUUAUCUUUCUGCCUGUUCGGGAACCAGGUGUAGUUUGAUGGCAGUAGGAAGGUUCAUUUUGAGGUGGCUUGAUGUUGUGGACUUACGUGAUGAGUUUUCUUAAGAGUAAAGUGAUUUUCACAAAUUUCUGUUCACAAUCAUAUUAUUGACCUUGAUUUAUUGGAACUAAAUGGUUUAAUUAUUGCAUGAUUGGCUUUGUUGUAUUGAGAAUUAAAAUUAGCUUGGAUAAAUUGGGGAUAGAUAUAUGUCUUCUCUUUUUGGGCAAAUAGUAAUUACAGACUUAUUGUGAAUUUUACAAUGGACUCUUCAAAAAGUAGUCCUUGAAGUAAAAGUUUGAAGGAAAUUAUUUUAAUCCUGAUACAUGGGUUGUUUUAAUAACUGCAGCCUUAUAGGCUUUGUAUCUGGUUGUUGAUAGAACAUAAGUAGAGUAUCCCAUACAAUUUUUUAAA